GUGCGUGAAAUAUUGAUGGAGUGCAUAUAUUAGAAAAAGGAGACCUUUAGAAAUCAACCAUUGUUAUAAUUUGAAUCCUGGAGCACUUUGCUAAGCACAUGGCAGAUUGUUCCCAGGAGCAGACAAUCUUUUGUUUAAACGUUAUUUCAAAUUCUAAAGGUCUCCUUUUUCUAAUAUAUGCAUCCAUCAAUAUUUCACGCAAUACGGUUCAGCAUAUGUGCAAUUGAAAAGGCAUUCAAAUUUUAACAAUAUACUUGAUUUCUAAAGGUCUCCUUUUUUUU